CUGCCUGUAGGCAUCACAUUGAGUUCCUGUCCCAAAUCGUACCGGAUCCCCACCGGCUCCAGUGGAGCAGUCCGUGAGGCGGUGCCGACCUGCAGGUGGGACAGCCCUGCUGCUUUCACUGGGUUCAGCCACAUGGAGCAUCAUUCUCUGAAGGAUGAAUGGGCUUUGUAGUCUGGAAUUGGUUUGCUGGGGUGUGUGAUGGGACAGAGUGCCUGGCUGAACGUCUCCGGAGCACCGCACGCGUCACGGUGUUGUGACAGCAGAGGUGCCCUUGUGCGCACAGCCGAGUUGGCAAAUAGCUGUUAGAUGGAGGGGAUGAUCGUAAUUACAGGAACAAAAUAGUUAUUAAUGCGCUAAUUUACCUGGGAACCAGACUUUAUGUAAUUACACUCCAGGAUCAAGAUAAGGUUAAUGCAUUUACCUUCCUGGAUAUUUAUAGAUGUUUUACAAUCGCUCUCCUUUGAGCACCGCGGCACUGAGCAGAGGCACUGGGAACUCAUUCGUGGCUGUGGGACUCUGGGACAGGAGCCCAUCAGCAGCAACGCAGCGUUAGGAGAGAACUUUGCAAACAGCUCCCAGUUGCUGCCUGUGUCCGUGCAGCCCCAGGACAGCUUCAGCUGCGAUGAUGGUCGGGAGACGCCGCAUCCUUUGGAAAUCCUUGCUCCAGCAGCGAUGGCAGCGAGCGUCCUAGAAAUGCCAGGAUAGAGCAGGAUGGGGUGUGGGAAGCUCAGCCCCCCCCGUGUCCCCUCGUCCCCAGCGCCUGGCACUGCUGGCAGCUGCCUUGCUGCAUGUCACACCAUGUGGUGCUGCUCCCCGUCGCCAUCCGCUCGCUGCGCGCUCCGCAUGGCCGCCCCGCAGCGUUGGCUCCCAGGCUGCUUGCGAGCAUCUGAGUGGUGUCACCAAGGAUCUGUGUUGUGGUGCCACGCAGGGGACAAGCAGCAAGCUGCAGAAGCACUUUUAAGCUCUGCUGAGCAGCGCUGGACCUCGCGGUGCAGAGAGGCAUCGCGCUCCGGCUCUGAGAUGGGGAGAGCAGAUGGGCACAGCAUUGCUGUGGCCCUUCCAGGUUUGGAAUGUGGUGCUGGGAUUCAGACAAACCCCACAUGAUAAAUCUGGUGUUGCUUGGUCCACCAUUUCUUUCCUUUCUCUCCUGUUCCCAAGUGCUGUGGGUGAGAUGCACGUGGUGCCCCCAGGUUGGCUAAUGGGGCACUUGGUAAACGCAGACUCAUUUCACUUCCAAU
rnacentral:lncRNA from 1 species